rnacentral:rRNA from 1 species
AAGUCGUAACAAGGUUUCCGUAGGUGAACCUGCGGAAGGAUCAUUAGUGAUUGGCCGAGAGGCCUUUGACAAACUCUACCUCUGUGAACCCGUCGGCUCCGGCCCUCAUACAAACAUUGUGUAACGAACGUAGACAUCAUAACCAUGAAAACUUUCAACAACGGAUCUCUUGGCUCUCGCAUCGAUGAAGAACGCAGCGAAAUGCGAUAAGUAAUGUGAAUUGCAGAAUUCAGUGAAUCAUCGAAUCUUUGAACGCACCUUGCGCCUUUUGGUAUUCCGAAAGGCAUGCCUGUUUGAGUGUCAUGGAAACCUCAACCCCGGGUUUUGUCACCCGUGGGCUUGGACUUGGGCGUUGCCGUCUGGCUCGCCUCAAAUACGUCAGUGAGACGGACCGUUGCAUGGAUGUCAUAAGUUUCAUCUUGGCGUCGGCGAGCUUUGCUCCGAACGAACCAUACAUCAAAUUCUGACCUCAAAUCAGGUAGGGCUACCCGCUGAACUUAAGCAUAUCAAUAAGCGGAGGAAAAGAAACUAACAAGGAUUCCCCUAGUAACGGCGAGUGAAGCGGGAUGAGCUCAAAUUUGUAAUCUGGCGUCCUCCGGGCGUCCGAGUUGUAAUCUAUAGAGGCGUUUUCCGUGCCGGACCGUGUCCGAGUCCCUUGGAACAGGGUAUCAAAGAGGGUGACAAUCCCGUACUUGACACGACGACCGGUGCUCUGCGAUACGCUUUCUACGAGUCGAGUUGUUUGGGAAUGCAGCUCAAAACGGGUGGUAAAUUCCAUCUAAGGCUAAAUAUUGGCGAGAGACCGAUAGCGAACAAGUACCGUGAGGGAAAGAUGAAAAGCACUUUGGAAAGAGAGUUAAACAGUAUGUGAAAUUGUUGAAAGGGAAACGAUUGAAGUCAGUCGUGUCUUGGGGAUUCAGCCGGUCCUGCCGGUCUACUUCCCCUCGACGGGUCAACAUCAGUUUUGUCCGGCGGAUAAAGACGGCGGGAAGGUGGCACCCUCGGGUGUGUUAUAGCCCGCUGUUGCAUACGCCGGACGAGACUGAGGAAUGCAGCUCGCCCUCAUGGGCCGGGGUUCGCCCACGUCCGAGCUUUGGAUGUUGACAUAAUGGCUUUAAACGACC